ensembl:lncRNA
CAUGUAUGGAUAAUUUGGGGAUUCUUCCUGUUCAGAAACUUUAACAUUUACCACAUCUAGUCACAGAGAAACAGACAGAGAUAAAGACGAACACCAGGCAGAGACAACAACGUCACUAGAACGUGGAAGGAAAAGUACGGUAAAUCUAUCAGAAGAAUCAGAUAUUGUUGAAGAUGUCUGAGGCCAUCUAUGCAAACACACAGAUGAACAACAAGGUUGAGACUGACAGAGGAGAGAUGGAGGAGAUGGUGGUUGAUAUCUACGACAGUUCAGACACCCUGAGAGAUGAAGACACCAGAACCACAACACAAGAGACAGAAGACACUGAUCUACAUAAUGUACCAGGAGACCUGAACUCAGAGUCUGAUAACUCAGGGAAGAUAUUCAGAGUUACUACAGUGUGUCUGGGGCUGCUGUGUGUUCUCCUACUGACUGCGAUCAUAGUCCAGUCUGUCUACUAUAACAUAACCAUCAAAGAUUCUGUGAAGAAAUGGAACAACUUGUUACAGAGUUUUUCUCUUUAUAAGACCAAUGCAACUACAGAGAUAGACUAGCUACAGACAAAGCUCUCUGUAAUUG